UAUAGGUGCACAAGAGUGGCUCGAGUGACCAUUAGUGCUGAUGGUACAACAGAGGGUGCAAGCCGAGUCUUCGUGGCAAUAAAUCCCAUCCUCGAGGAACAGAGGCAAAGAUAAGCAGGGGCAUGUCUAAGAGGGAUGCAGCAACAACUCAGAGAUCGAUCACUCAGACAACCAAGGUUGUAGAGAGCAGAAUGGGAACACCAGGAAAGCAAUCCCUGAUAAACCAGUGCAGUAAUUGGAAGUGUUUCUGAGGGUGUGAAGGCGGACUGGGGAGGCCUCCAGGGUGAGAUAAGGCAAGCAAUCAACAUGUCAAGGUAAUUUGCUAGCAGUUCUGGCUUUGGGUUGAGGUGUAUAAACCUGCCUGCUGUGAUGUAUGAAGCCUGCUAACCUGAGGAAGCUGGGCCACAGAAGGACGAUAGCAAAGUGGAGGCUGCUUGGGACUGACAAGAGGGACCACCUGUCUCUACAAAUGUGACAUCUGUCCCGAUGAAGGCAGACCCUCAUUACAAAGCUGCUGUAUUUGGGCCUCCAUUACUACAGCUGGAUGCAAUUUCUCCGGACACAACCCUCACCAUGCUUCUGAGUCCACCCUGACUGUGCACCUGCUCUCCAGCCCCUCGGCCAGUGUGCGUCCUCUGCAUAUUAUCAUCUGACCAUGAUGUUGCAUAAGUGGGACAACCGUCUUUUUUGUUUUUAAUGCCAAGAUGAGUCUGUGCAUUUUCCUUUCAGCUUAUCCAGUUGUAUAAAGUGCAAUGGAUCAGAC